GCCCGAAUGGCGGAACUGGCAGACGCACACGACUCAAAAUCGUGCGGGAAACCAUGUGGGUUCGAGUCCCACUUUGGGCACCA
rnacentral:tRNA from 2 species